CAGAUGUGUGGAGGAAAUGAUUUGCUCACUGUAAGCAAAAUAGCUGCUCUUGGUUGAAGGGCUUGGUCUGUGUAGAACAGCAGAUUUCUUGCCAGGUUUCUCCUUCCAGCUCUUCCUCAAAACUCUUCCUGUGCCAUCCACUGACGCCUUUCUAGCCCCCAGUCAUCUGCUCGAAUCUCUAAAACAUGUGACUCAUGUUCCAUUUUUAUAUUCAUCUUCA